GUCGAGCUCAGUAACAAGGGCUAGUGACCCAUGUGGGGACAAGAAGUUGGUUGAACACUGGCUCGGUCCACAGGUCGGAUCUGUUGUGGCACUGUUCUGGGCUGCCCAGUCCAAGCUGAGAGUGAACCGUCUGUGUUGAGCGAAGGCUUGGCUCAGGCGGUUCCUAAAGUGGAGGACAAUGCGCUAGGCUGGUUUCACAGAGCAGCGAUCACCUCCCUCUUUCGGCAGUGGACGGAUCACGGCUCAAUGUCACUCAGGUUCACCGUGGCCUGCUGGCUCGUACCCAGCUGGACAACCAUUUUU
rfam:Brassica oleracea var. oleracea cultivar TO1000 chromosome C6, whole genome shotgun sequence